CGUGACCCUGAAGAGGAUAAGCGGUAUAGAAGAUGGAUGGAUGGAUGGAUGAGCCCAAAACAUUAUUUUCUCAGGUUUAUCCUGUGGGGAAAAUCCAGAAAUCCAGAGCGCCGUAGACCAACUGAAUAAAUGAUGCAGGGGCAGUGGUGGCUUCUGGGUUACUGAUCAGAAGGUCAGGGGUUCAAGCUGCCACUGUUGGGCCCUUGAGCAAGGUCCUUAACCCUCUCUGCUGUAUCAUGGCUGACCCCAACUUCCCGGCAUGCUAGGUUUGAAAGAAAGAAAGGAUGUCGUACUGGAAAUCACAAAGGCCACCCCAUGUAUACGAGUCAAAGAAGCUUCCUGAGCUUUGAAGAUUUUUGCAUUAUGUAAAGAAGCCUGCGAUUAAAAGGGUCACGGGGAAACCUGGAGUCUAUCCCAGGGAGCAUCGGGUACAAGGCGGGGUACACCCUGGACAGGGUGCCAGUCCAUCGCAGGGCACAAUCACAUACACACUCACACACCCAUUCAUACACUACGGACACUUUAGACACGCCGAUCAGCCUACCGUGCAUGUCUUUGGACUGGGG
ensembl:lncRNA